AGCUUUGAGCUAAAUAUAUUAUAAUAUUAGUUAUUUUAAAAGGUGUUGUAUAACCUUAUUAAAAAUUAUAUUUAGGGGUGAUAGGCUUUUCAAAAUCUAAGAUAUCUUGAAUCUAAUUAAAAGUAUGUAGUACAUUUAACACGACUAUUAAGUGAUUAGGCUUUAUAGAAACUAUUAAACUUUAAGAUAUUUUUAUUUAUUAUAAUUUAAUAACUAAGUAUAUAAAUAAAUUAACAUUCAUAUAUUAUAAUUUAUAAAAGAGUAAUUAGAUAGAUUUAAGUUUAUAUAAAAUUGUAAUAAUGUUAAUAUUAGUAUAUAAUUUAUAUUUAUAUGAUGAACUCGGCAAAAAUGCUUCUCAACUGUUUAUCAAAAACAUAACUAUGUGAAAUAAUACAUAGCGGUUUCUGCUCAA
rnacentral:rRNA from 1 species